rnacentral:rRNA from 1 species
UACGUAGGGGGCAAGCGUUGUCCGGAAUUAUUGGGCGUAAAGAGCGUGUAGGCGGCCAGGUAGGUCUGCUGUGAAAACUCGAGGCUCAACCUCGAGCUGUCGGUGGAAACCAUCUGGCUAGAGUCCGGAAGAGGAGAGUGGAAUUCCUGGUGUAGCGGUGAAAUGCGCAGAUAUCAGGAAGAACACCCGUGGCGAAGGCGGCUCUCUGGUACGUGACUGACGCUGAGGCACGAAGGCCCGGGGAGCAAACGGG